rnacentral:rRNA from 1 species
AAAUUGAAGAGUUUGAUCAUGGCUCAGAUUGAACGCUGGCGGCAGGCCUAACACAUGCAAGUCGAACGGUAACAGGAAGCAGCUUGCUGCUUUGCUGACGAGUGGCGGACGGGUGAGUAAUGUCUGGGAAACUGCCUGAUGGAGGGGGAUAACUACUGGAAACGGUGGCUAAUACCGCAUAACGUCGCAAGACCAAAGAGGGGGACCUUCGGGCCUCUUGCCAUCAGAUGUGCCCAGAUGGGAUUAGCUUGUUGGUGAGGUAACGGCUCACCAAGGCGACGAUCCCUAGCUGGUCUGAGAGGAUGACCAGCCACACUGGAACUGAGACACGGUCCAGACUCCUACGGGAGGCAGCAGUGGGGAAUAUUGCACAAUGGGCGCAAGCCUGAUGCAGCCAUGCCGCGUGUAUGAAGAAGGCCUUCGGGUUGUAAAGUACUUUCAGCGGGGAGGAAGGUGUUGUGGUUAAUAACCGCAGCAAUUGACGUUACCCGCAGAAGAAGCACCGGCUAACUCCGUGCCAGCAGCCGCGGUAAUACGGAGGGUGCAAGCGUUAAUCGGAAUUACUGGGCGUAAAGCGCACGCAGGCGGUCUGUCAAGUCGGAUGUGAAAUCCCCGGGCUCAACCUGGGAACUGCAUUCGAAACUGGCAGGCUUGAGUCUUGUAGAGGGGGGUAGAAUUCCAGGUGUAGCGGUGAAAUGCGUAGAGAUCUGGAGGAAUACCGGUGGCGAAGGCGGCCCCCUGGACAAAGACUGACGCUCAGGUGCGAAAGCGUGGGGAGCAAACAGGAUUAGAUACCCUGGUAGUCCACGCCGUAAACGAUGUCUACUUGGAGGUUGUGCCCUUGAGGCGUGGCUUCCGGAGCUAACGCGUUAAGUAGACCGCCUGGGGAGUACGGCCGCAAGGUUAAAACUCAAAUGAAUUGACGGGGGCCCGCACAAGCGGUGGAGCAUGUGGUUUAAUUCGAUGCAACGCGAAGAACCUUACCUGGUCUUGACAUCCACGGAAGAAUUCAGAGAUGGAUUUGUGCCUUCGGGAAC